GACGAACGCUGGCGGCGUGCCUAAUACAUGCAAGUCGAACGCAGUGGGGACGGGUGAGUAACACGUGGGUAACCUCCCAUCAGAGGGGAUAACACUUGGAAACAGGUGCUAAACCGAUACUGAUGGAUGGACCCGCGGUGCAUUAGCUAGUUGGUGAGGUAACGGCUCACCAAGGCCACGAUGCAUAGCCGACCUGGCAGGGUGAUCGGCGUCACUGGGACGGAGACACAGCCCAGACUGCUACGGGAGGCAGCAGAAGGGAAUCUGCGGCAAUGGACGAAAGUCUGACCGGGCAACGCCGCGUGAGUGAAGAAGGGUUUCGAGUCGUAAAACUCGGUAGUUAGAGAAGCGGUAUCUAACCAGAAAGCCACGGCUAACUACGUGCCAGCAGCCGCGGUAAUAC
rnacentral:rRNA from 1 species